rnacentral:tRNA from 1 species
GGGCGCUUAGCUCAGGUGGUUAGAGCAGCGAGCUUAUAUCUCGCCGGUCGAGGGUUCAACUCCCCCAGCGCCCA